CCCGCCUGCGUCACGACUUGCUCUGCUGAAAUUACCGCACCAUAACCACGUCAUCUGCCCCAAUGAUCUACGGGCCGGGGAACCAGCGCAGAAAAGGAGUAAGUUUAAUUGGUCGCCAGAUGAAACGGUCUUCUUACAUCAAAUUCAUGAAAAAAUACGUAUAAUCAGAGGGUGUUAUGGGAAGAGUAUCACCCCUGAGGAUAAGAAGAGAGCGUGGACUGAAGUGGCAGAAGCUGUAACAAGUGCCUUCCCUGGGAGUGGACCCCGUACGCAGGAUGACUGUGAGAGGCGUUGGUACAACGUACAACAAAAAUCAAAGCCUCGCGUUGCCAAGUGCAAGAAUGAGCAGCGGCAGACUGCCCCGCUGCUGUAUUGCUAGAGACCAUCCCAGCACAUUGUUCAUUACUUGUGGAAAAGAUACCAUCAGCUGCUCCGGCAACAGCCAGUGCUUCAACAUCUGCUGGCCCUAUGACACCAGCCACUGCUUCAUCAUCUGCUGGCCCAAUGACUCCUGCUACUGCAAGGGAUGACACUGAAGCUGCUCCACCACAGUCACCACCUACUUCAUCGGAGUUAAGAGAUGCCUUUCAUAGGGCAGCAGUAUAAUUUUUUGAUGCUGGGGCUGAAUAUUACUGCCUCAAGGCUAUGAUUUUGUCACUUUUUUCUAUUACUGAGAAGGUUGAAAAAUAAUCUCUGCUGUUUUUCGACAGAAAUGGUUAGCAAAUUCAUUCAAAGCACAAAAUUUACCAGAAAAAAAAUUGUGUGCCAUUGUGAGUGGGUUCACUUGAGAUUGGGCUCCAAUACGCCUCCGUGGUCUAGUGGUCAGCAUGCCUGGCUUCUACGCGGGCCCCGGUUCGAAUCCCGGCCCGGGCAGUCGGCGUGCAGCUCACCCAGCUGAUCAUCCUCCCUCUCGGGGUGGUCGAUAAAUGACUACCUGGGGAAACCUGGGGAAACAGUGAUAACCCGGAUGUCACACUGGCCCUGUGUCCCGGGGUAAUGGGCUCCCUCCCACCACAGGCUCAAGGGCCAGUGUUACGGAGAUGAGCACCGAGGCCACGCGCUGCUACAGCGUAUGCCCCAACUUUACCUUUACCUUUAUUGGCUCGACUGACAGACAUGGCUUUGUAUGUCGAAGGUCGCUGGUUCAAU